rnacentral:lncRNA from 1 species
CUAAACAUCUUUUUACAAUGAAGUCAUCUUGAAAUUUUUGCUCCUUCUAACAAACUAAUCUUUUGCAGAAGUAAAACGUCUUCAAAUUAACUUCAAUCUAAUUUCAAAAUUAUAAUCUCGAUGUGAACUUCCAUCAUCUUAUUGUUUUUAAUCUCGAAAGCUUUAUGAAACCCGUCAAUUUCUCCAGAGACACAAUUCAGUGUUUCUAGUCCACUUAAGAAUGUCAUAAUUAUCAGGAUAAAUGUAAGUAAACUAAAAGUGCUCUUUGAAACAUUCAAGUAGAACCCAUUUACUUUAGUUAGAUCUAUCCUGAUAACUAAGAAAUCUUUCAUUUGACCUAUAAAGUAUGAAGUACUAACUUACAUCUAAACUUUCUAUUAUUUCAAAGUGCAUCUGCAUACUUGGAGGCAUAUCAGCAAAAUAAUACCUUGAGAAAUCUUUUAUUUUUCCCAAACUCUUAGGGACUUCAGAUUCAAGCAGAUGCAGCAUUUUGUCCUUUUCAUUCCUUAUCCAGUCACGCCGCUUAUCACUCCAUUUAAGAUGGGAACAGGUCAUAGUUCUUGAAGGCAGUUAGAUAAGAGCGACACAGUUGAUGUAGAUGCGGGGAAACCCAUUGGAUCAUAUGACCUUGGCUCUCCAUAUUGAUUCAUUGACAGUAUGAAGUCCUUGUAGACAGCAAAAUGUCCAUUACAAACAGAAGCCUCAAUAACCCAAGCGUUGAUCAAAGAACCAAAUUUUGACACAACAAUUUCGGAUAGUUUCUGUAAAUUUGAUAGCCUCUCAAUCACUGGGUUACCUGUCCCUUCACCACAGAAAAAUAUAGCAUUGGCUACAGGUACCUGUGACAAAUCAGAAUGCUUAUUCAAAGACAUUUUUUAUCAUCUAUAGAUCUUCGACAAUUAGGAGAUUUAGAUCCUCAAGCAGUAGAACAAGGAGAUUAGAAGGAUGCUCGCUGUAGGUGACACCUCAAAAUGAAAUUGAUCACAACCCGAAGAGCCCAGGUGGAUUUUUUUCGUUUGGUGAUGAACAGAACGAUAGAAGACUGGGGUUAAUCAAAGCUCGGGACAUCAACUCAAACAUCUGAAACGGUCGGAGGAUCACGCCACCACCCUUUCGUUGACGGGGUAAUGGAUGCACAACUUCCAACAACUUGGAAGGGAUUAAACAUGGAUCAGUACGAUAGGACAAUCGACCCCGAUGAACAUAUCGAUGUCUUUACCACACAAAUGAGUCUUUACACUACCAAUGA